UACGUAGGGUGCGAGCGUUGUCCGGAAUUACUGGGCGUAAAGAGCUCGUCGGUGGUUUGUCGCGUUGUUCGUGAAAACUCACAGCUCAACUGUGGGCGUGCGGGCGAUACGGGCAGACUGGAGUACUGCAGGGGAGACUGGAAUUCCUGGUGUAGCGGUGGAAUGCGCAGAUAUCAGGAGGAACACCGGUGGCGAAGGCGGGUCUCUGGGCAGUAACUGACGCUGAGGAGCGAAAGCGUGGGGAGCGAACAGG
rnacentral:rRNA from 1 species